rnacentral:rRNA from 1 species
GACGAACGCUGGCGGCGUGCUUAACACAUGCAAGUCGAACGGAAAGGCCCUGCUUUUGUGGGGUGCUCGAGUGGCGAACGGGUGAGUAACACGUGAGUAACCUGCCCUUGACUUUGGGAUAACUUCAGGAAACUGGGGCUAAUACCGGAUAGGAGCUCCUGCUGCAUGGUGGGGGUUGGAAAGUUUCGGCGGUUGGGGAUGGACUCGCGGCUUAUCAGCUUGUUGGUGGGGUAGUGGCUUACCAAGGCUUUGACGGGUAGCCGGCCUGAGAGGGUGACCGGACACAUUGGGACUGAGAUACGGCCCAGACUAAUACGGGAGGCAGCAGUGGGGAAUAGUGCACAAUGGGCGGAAGCCUGAUGCAGCAACGCCGCGUGCGGGAUGACGGCCUUCGGGUUGUAAACCGCUUUCGCCUGUGACGAAGCGUGAGUGACGGUAAUGGGUAAAGAAGCACCGGCUAACUACGUG